ensembl:lncRNA
AUGGACACAAAGAAGGAAACAGUAGACACCAGGGCCUACUUGAGCAUGGAGGAUAGAAGAAAGGUGAGGGUCAAAAGACUCCCUAUUGGGUGCUGUGCUCAUUCCCUGAGUAGUAAAAUAAUCUGUACAUUAAACCCUUGCAACAUGCAAUUUACAGAUUUGGAGAAAAUUUUCACAAACUAUGCAUUUGACAAAGGAUCUAAAAGGAACUAAAACAAAUUAGAAAAACAAACAAACAAUUCAAUCAAAAAGUGGAAUAGGGAUAUAAACAAACAUUUCUCAAGAGAAGAUACACAAAUUCCCAAAAAACAUAUAAAAAAAAGUCAACAUCAGGGAAAUGCAAAUGAAAACCACAAUGCAAUAUAACCUUACUCCUGUAAGGAUGGACAUAAUAAAAAAAAUAGACAUUGGUUUGGAUGUGGUGAAAAAAGAACACUUUUACAUGGUUGGUGGGAAUGUAAACUACUACAAUCACUAUGGGAAACAGUAUGGAGAUUUCUUAAAGAACUUAAAGUAGAUCUACCAUUUGAUCUAGCAAUCCCACUACUAGGUGUCACCCAGAGGUAAAGAAGUUAUUAUACAGAAAAGAUACUUGCACACACAUGUUUAUAGCAACACAAUUUACAAUGCUAAAAAUAUGAAACCAGCUCUAAUAUAUAUAUAUAUAUGUAUAUAUACAUAUAUAUAUAUACACACACACAUACACACACACACAUAUAUACACACAUAGAUAUAUAUACCAUGAAAUAUUACUCACCCAAGAAAAAGGAAAAAAUAAUGGUAUUUACAGCAACCUAAAUGGAAUUGGAGCAUUGCUCCAAAUAAAUUAACUCAGGAAUUGAAAACUAAACAUUGUAUGUUCUCACUCAUAAGAGGGAGCUAAGCUAUGAAGAUGCAAAGGUACAAAAAUGAUAUCAUGGACUUUUGGGACUCUGGAAAGGGUGGGAUGUGGGUGAGGAAUAAAAUAACCCUGUACACAUUGGGUUUCUGCUGGGGUGAUAUGUGCACCGAGAUUUCAGAAAUCACCAAUAAAGAACUUGUCCAUGUAACCAAAUACCACCUUUUUCCUUAAAACCUACUGAAAUUAAAAAUUAAAAUUAAAAUCAAAGAAAGCAAUUUCUGUAGUUCACAAAAUUAAGACUAAUUCUUUUUCUGUCAGACUUUGCUGUUCCAUAAAAUCAUAGAAAUUGUCAUCUACUUAGAAUACCUACCUAAUCCAUUUUCUACUUUUUGGCAAUAGUAGACCAGUUUAAAGAAGUAAUUCUUUAAUUCUGUCUUCUUUCUAUUUAGGGACAGAUAAUUACCCUACAUUGAUUAUUGAAAAAUGAAUAUUGAAAAUAUGGCAGAUCUUGUGUCAUUACAUCAUAGAAUUUCUCUUGCCUUUUCUCACUAGAAGUCCAGAUUGGAGCAAUAGCUGCUUGGCCCUCCUUGCUUGGAAUCCUGCCAAAAAAAAAAAAAAAAAGCCUUUUCUAUCACAGCAAAAACCUCAAUGAGGAUGUGCAGUUUUACAGCACUGGGAAAAUGUGUUAGUGGCAGUGAAUCCGUACGAUUCUGCCGCAACCUCAAUUCAUUCCUCCUCAGAAGAAAAAAUUCAACCACAGGGCAUAAGGCAGAAGAAGAGACUGAGGCAAGUUUUAGAGCAGGAAUGAAAAUUUAUGAAAACGCUUUAGAGAAGGAAUGAAAGGAAGUAAGCACACUUGGAAGAGGACCAAGUGGCCAACCUGUAAAACAAGUACGUGGUUUGACCUUUUGACUUGGGGUUUUAUAUGUUGGCAUAUAUUCAGGGUCUCACAUCCUUUCUCUCCUGAUUAUUCCCUUGUGGUGAGCUGUUGACAAGCACAGUGGCUUGUCAGUACUUGAAGCUGAUCAUGCACAAUGUGUUUACUGAAGUUGUACACAUGCUAACUUGAGGUGUUCUUCCCUUACCAGACAAAUAUUCCUAGAAGGUCAUUUACCAGUUAAACCCUGUCAUUUUUCCUCUAAAUGUUUACGGCUGAGCUCACUCAUCCAGCUCCUGAGAUCUUAUUGGAAAGCUGAUGAUCACUAGUUUCAGAUAUUUUCUAUCUCUAAGAAGACUGCCUUUCCCUGGUGCUGGCUGUGACCAAUUGUUAUUUGGGAGAGAUAGUUAACAAUCACCUGACCAUCACCUGAUGGUCUCCUGAUAUUGUUGGUCAGGUGGAGCCCUCUCCUGCUCUGCUUGUGUAUGAUUAUCUUACUACUGUAACAUUUUCCCAGUCAGGAUCCUAAGACCCUAAUUAUUUGGAGAAAAUGGACAAAGGUUGGUCUCCUGUAACUCUUUGCUGCUGACAAAGAGGCAGUGUAUCAUUCUGUGGGUCUUGGCCUCUUGCUAGCUGUCAGGGCAGGAAGGUGUCUCCAUGGAUUGGUGAAUGUGGUAUCCAGCCAGGGUCUAGGGAGAUUGGGGUAAGAUUUUGCCUCUGUCAUAUCUCACUGUUGGGCAGUCUAGAGGUCCCCUGUAGAAGAGUGACUCUUUUAAUAUUGAGAAGGUGACAUCUUUCACUGAGGAUUAUCUGGAGCUUGAUGGCCUAUCCCUUUUAUUUCUUCUAAGCUGCAGCAAGAAAUCACUAGUUGGCUCACAGGAAUAAGCAGAGUUAGUAUAAAUGGCAGUCAAAACUCAAAAAGAACUGAUAAGAAUAGAAUCUAAUAAUAAAUCUACCAUAGUGCUUGAAACAUAACUUUUAUCUCUCCAGUUCUCAUUUUUAUUGAAGACAAAUCAUGAAAGUAUUGAUUUGUUUGCAAAAUAAAGUUUAGUCUUAUUAUACUUGGCAUAAUUAUUUGCAUAAAGCACAGCAAGUUUAUUUGCUAUGUGGGCUUAUUUUUUAAUUGGCUUUGAUGGAUCUUCAUUCCAUAAUGAAUCUCAUGUAAGAGUUUUCCUAAAGCCUUAAGUGUAGCCAUGAAUUGGUGCCAUGAAAUAUCUGUAUCAUUUGGUAAAUUUUUCUCCUCUUGAGGUCUCAAAAUAACAUGAAGCUCCUGGGCCUGUUACAAAGUGACAUUCUUUACUUAUCACAGGUCAGGAACCCUGUACAGGAACUGUGUAGACAAGGUAUGAGGAUAGUUUUCCCAAGGGGUUUUAUUGGCUCUAUAAGUAAAGUUUGAUUCCUUUUGGGAAAGCAUGCCAUUCUAUUCAUAGCCUUGGUAAAAUAACCAGAUCCUCCAAUUGUGUUCUAUUGCAAAAGAAACCAGAUUCUUAUUGCAUUUAUGCAAAUAACUAUAUUGCCAUUUGUUAAGAAUACUCACAAAUAGCUUUCAAUUUUUGAAGAAAUCCAGUAAAGAGAAAUACUCUCCAAAGAUGAUUUAUAAGAGUAUAUUCUACUGAAUUGUAAAAAAAAAAAUGUAAAUAGCUCAAAAGUUUUCCUGUCCUUGAAAAACAAAAUACCAGCAACAUUUUAAACAAAAUGUCAUGAAAUAAUUAACUUAGUCUUCUAUUAGGUUAGGCCACGCCUACAGUUAACUCUUUUUUUUUUUUUUUUUUUUUAAUUUUUUAUUGGAUUAUAGGUUUUGGGGUAUAUGAGCAGAGCAUGCAAGACGGUUGCGUAGGUACACACAUGGCAGUGUGCUUUGCUUUUCUUCUCCCCUUCACCCACAUUUGGCAUUUCUCCCCAGGCUAUCCCUCCCCACCUCCCCCUCCCACUGGCCCUCCCCUUUUCCCCCCAAUAGACCCCAGUGUUUAGUACUCCCCUUUCUGUGUCCAUGUGUUCUCAUUUUUCAUCACCCACCUAUGAGUGAGAAUAUGCGGUGUUUCAUCUUCUGUUCUUGUGUCAGUUUGCUGAGGAUGAUGUUUUCCAGAUUCAUCCAUGUCCCUACAAACAACACGAACUCAUCAUUUCUGAUUGCUGCAUAAUAUUCUACAGUUAACUCUUGUUGUACUUGAUAUUCAUGAACAUUUUGGCUUUCUAUGAGGGUACUAAAAGUUUUUCCCUGAUUCUAAUGUCACAAUUUCCAAAGUCAUCAUAAUGCUACAUUCAAGAACACCUGUUAGAGUUUUAUAGCUGCUUAUAUAACCACCUUCUAGAGAGGACCAAAAGAAGACAACAAUUUCACUGGAUGACAAGAAAUUGUAGGGCAGCCUAUAUUAAAGCCACAAUUGACUAGGAAUUUUGGUUACUUAUUUGGCAUAUUGUAACAGUUUUACCUAACAGUUAUAACAAUUAAAUACCAUACACUAAUUAAUAUCAGAAUUAUAGAAAUUUAACAUAAUUUUGGAACAAAUGCUCAUAACACAUUUAUACAAAUAUAGCCCCACAAAGCCAAAUAUAACAUUUGCAUUAGUGUACUGUUGAUGUCAUACUUAGAUCUUAAAAUGUUAUAGACAAAUCUAUUCAAUUUUAAGCAGUCUGACUCUAAGGUAAGAUUCUCAUAAACCUUUUACAAUACCAUAAAAUUUUAUUUGUUACAGAGCAGAACAAUGCUCUAAGAAAACCCCCUUGUGGUUUUAUUCCAAUGUUUAAUUUACAGAAAAACUGAAGAGCAGUCAGUUUGGAGUUUGCAAUGGCUUUACCUUUAGCCAAUAAUUUCACACACAAUUUUUAUUUACAAUAUUAAUUUUUCACAAACCUUCCAUGACUUGUUCAAAUUUUCAAAUUUUUCCCAUCUAAUGAAAAUGAGCCUUUAAUUUGUUAAUCUAGGCACAAAAAUACACAUUACCCUGCCUUGUUUUAAUCUUUUAGAAAAAACACAUUUCACUUUUCUUACACAUCUUACAUGUAAAACUGUUUCUUCCGUGGUUUCAAUUAAAUGUAAACUCUUAGCAGCUUUUAUUUUUGGUGAAAAACCUCGUAAGUAAGUGAUUUAAUUAUGUACUAGGUGUGGAGCCUAGGAAACGAAAUAGAAGUGUGAAUAAGGUCUGACCUUUACAGCAUAACCAGGAGUGCAUGGCUAACUUUACAUGUCCCCAGGUCUUACAGAAUUCUAAU